GUAGGUGGCAAGCGUUGUCCGGAAUUAUUGGGCGUAAAGCGCGCGCAGGCGGGUUCUUUAAGUCUGAUGUGAAAGCCCACGGGCUUAACCGUGGAGGGUCAUUGGAAACUGGAGAACUUGAGUACAGAAGAGGAAAGCGGAAUUCCACGUGUAGCGGUGAAAUGCGUAGAGAUGUGGAGGAACACCAGUGGCGAAGGCGGCUUUCUGGUCUGUAACUGACGCUGAGGCGCGAAAGCGUGGGGAGCAAACAGGAUUAGAUACCCUGGUAGUCCACGCCGUAAACGAUGAGUGCUAAGUGUUAGGGGGUUUCCGCCCCUUAGUGCUGCAGCUAACGCAUUAAGCACUCCGCCUGGGGAGUACGGCCGCAAGGCUG
rnacentral:rRNA from 1 species